GACGGAGGGUGCUAGCGUUGUUCGGAAUGACUGGGCGGAAAGGGCGCGUAGGCGGCCGCUUGCGUCGGAUGUGAAAGCCCGGGGCUCAACCCCGGAACGGCAUCCGAUACGGGGCGGCUCGAGACCGAGAGAGGUGAGUGGAAUACCCAGUGUAGAGGUGAAAUUCGUAGAUAUUGGGUGGAACACCGGUGGCGAAAGCGGCUCACUGGCUCGGUUCUGACGCUGAGGCGCGAAAGCGUGGGGAGCAAACAGG
rnacentral:rRNA from 1 species